CCGACCAUUCAAAAACAUUACGCACAGCACCGCGGCCGGACCACGCUCGAUUACUCGACUGAAAUGACCUUUUUUUUCCCCCCCCCCGCAGAUCCUUGGAGAGCGGACGCAUUGCGGACGAUCCCACCAUUGCAGGUGGAAGAGGACCAUCUCGAAGAAGUAGGAUCAUCAUCAUGUUGAUCACCACCACCCUGCUCUACGCUUUUAGCCUCUUUACGGUGCUGCCUUGUCUAAUCAUGUUCAAGCAGCAUUGUACAGGGCUAUGACAGCAUAGAGAGCUUCGCUGCGUUUCCUCGCUGAACCCCAGAACUGCUGCCAACCAGAACCGGCCCGAGGCAUAAGCGAACUAAACCGAUGCUUAGGGCACCUCCAAAAACCUCUAAAAGCACUUGAUUUGUUAGACAGGUUAUAAAUCUUAAUUUGUGUGUUUAGAAUUAGCCUACUUUGAGAUUCAAAUGCUGAUUGUGUUCGCCUCUUUGCUAAUUAAGUACUUUUGUAGUUACUGUGUAUGUUUUAGUUUGUAACCACUUUGACAUCCACAAAUGUAAAGUUAUUUUCGGUAUUCUUCAGAGAAAUGAAGAUUAUGUGCAGUGGCACAACUAACUGACCCCCAUGAUCAGAUAUUCAUGAUCUGUUCAGCAGGAAUGUUUUAAUUUAUUUAAUAUUUCCCGUGAUAGUGCCUGUUUUUGAAUGCCGUGCUGUUAAUGAAUCCAUCAUGAUUUAUACCCAUAAUUUAUCAAAAUGUUUAUUUACCAAAAUAAAUAAAUUGGCACACAGUGACUAAAAUUUUGAAAUGUUUUAGAUUUAAAAUUGGAAUUUGUUAAAGUAAUAAAUCAAUGCAGUAAUACCAAUUCUAGUUGUACAUCUUCAUAUUGAUAGUUAUUAAUCCUAAUUCAUUGUACUGCUUGUCUUUUGUGAAGUUCAUAUUUUAUGCAUACUGUAAAUGUUAAAGGGAUUUCAGCCAGUAAAUGCCAGUUUACUGAAGCUGGUUUUAAGCAAAACUGAUUAAACUUGGUUUCUUCAGACACA